UUUGAGCUUGUUUAAAAAUGAAGCUUGCAGCACGGCGUAGCGGCUUCAUGGGGCUGUAUAAAAACUGAUCUGAUAAUAUUUUAUUCAUCCUUCUCUCCCCUUCCUUUUGCUCUGGAAAUUCCAGGAGCUACUGGCAGUCUCUGCAGGCAGCUCGGGGAGAGGAGCAAGAAUCCCCUUUUAGAAAGCAAUUACACAUGCAAGUCACAUCAGUUCAAGCCAAACUGUGAGCCAGAUCCUGUAGCUGAUAAAACAGCUCUGCAAUACUCCAGGAGGGAGAAAGAUAAUACCGGAUUUCUAGGCCAGCUCCUUGGCGGAUGUGAAUGGGUAUCAGAAUGGUGAAGAAAGUGCAGUGGCUCCAAUUUUCACCAGAGGAGGAUCCGGCCUGUUUAAUCUGUUUGGAACUACCACUCAACUUCAAAGUGUAAUGGAACCACACAGCUGUGUUUGCAGAGUCCCUGAGCUGGGUCCAGGCACUCUUUGGGGCACGGAUUACAGAGCUGCUGGAGGACUAGCUGGCUUCAGCACAGAGCCUGAGGGUGCAAUCCAUACUCCAUCAGAUCUAAUCUGUAUCCCGUGUGUCCCGGAGGGGUUCUCUGCUCUGCCAUGAUGGCUCAUGCCAGAUGCAGCAGGGGCCAACCCCACGGGACAUACCUGCAAGUCAGACCAGGCAAGAAAGUUGAAACUAGCAUCAAAUAAAGGUGUACUAGGCAUUGCACCCCACACACUGGAGGUCACCACCAUUGCCUUGAAGAGCUUAGAAUCUCAGCAUUUGUCCCAGUGACAACUUGAUGAACAUCACCAAAUGCAUUUCACAUGGGCAACCAAUUGGGUCACUCGUUCGUCCUGGUCUGGAUUUGAGUGGACACCCCAUAGGGGCAUCAUAUACCCGAUCUGCAAACCAGCCCCAGUUUUUCUAUUUAUCUUAAUGCAGAAGACAUUCUAAAAAAAACCCGACAGCUGUUUCAUUGAUCUGACCUUUUCUGAGAAACAUUCAUUGAAGCCUGAAGAAUAAAUUAUAGGCGCAGUCUUGCCUGGAAUGGGGAUGGGAUGGGGGGUGGGCGAGCUGGUGGGCCUUUUGGAUCACUGGUUUCUAUGAUGAUUUUACAGUCAUGGUCUGCGAAAGCCACCAGUGUGUUGCAGAACAUUCAUCCAACCAUCCAUAGUGACACCUUGGCGCUCGUCAUUUGGAUCUCUGCAUCACAUUGUCACUGUUCCUGCCUUUCUCCCCAUGUUGAGGCUAAUUUCUCCAUUGAUUGGUUCUUACUUGGUUUAAAAAUAGCUGGUUUGUAGCACAGAAGGGUAAAAUUAGCAGCUCGCGCUUGCUUUUACACAGAUUUACAGCUGUUACAGAAGAGAGAUGUCGGGUCUCUCACAGCCUCACUUCUUGCACUAAACUGCUACCUUCUUCCGGAGCCUUCUCCCCAAGUCCUGAUGACUUGAUUCUUCCUAUUGGUUUCUUUCAUCUUAAGACUGAUUUUAAAACAUACUGUGAUGCUCUGUACCUCGGGGGAACACCCAGCACUCCCAUGUUCCUCCUUGUAAAAUGAUUGUGUGGUAUCUAAUGCAAAGUUUGUCAGGUUGAAAUGUCUUUG